UACGUAGGUGGCAAGCGUUGUCCGGAUUUACUGGGCGUAAAGAGCGCGCAGGCGGUCGUUCAAGUCGCGUGUGAAAGCCCCCGGCUCAACUGGGGAGGGUCACGCGAUACUGAUCGACUCGAAGGCAGGAGAGGGUAGUGGAAUUCCCGGUGUGAGUGGUGAAAUGCGUAGAUAUCGGGAGGAACACCAGUGGCGAAGGCGACUACCUGGCCUGUUCUUGACGCUGAGGCGCGAAAGCUA
rnacentral:rRNA from 1 species